CCAAUGAGGAUACCCCGGCAGGUCACUCUCCCCGAGCUCUGCCCUAGUGGCACAUGGGAGCACAAGGCUCUGCCCCAUGAUGUACAGUUCCUUUCCACAAUGCUGGAGAAAAAGCUGGGCCUUGAGUCUGCACCUGCAUAUUCCUAUGACUUCUCAGAGUCCUCUGGGUAAUGACUGGGAAGAUAAACCAUCCAGAAAACACUA
rnacentral:snoRNA from 1 species